rnacentral:tRNA from 1 species
GCCCGGGUGGCGGAAUUGGUAGACGCAGCAGACUCAAAAUCUGCCGUAGAGAUACGUGUGGGUUCGAGUCCCACCCCGGGCACCA